GUUGCCCGACCGCUUUCUAGGAGGACUGGAGUCGAAGGUUGUGAGUCAGCCAUAAUGGCAGCUGAAGAAAUUAAUGAGGACUAUCCAGUAGAAAUUCACGAAUAUUUGUCAGCGUUUGGGAAUUCCAUUGAUGCUGUGGAUGAGAUGCUGAAGAACAUGAUGUCUGUUUCUAGAAAUGAGUUGUUGCAGAAGUUGGACCCACUUGAGCAAGCGAAAGUGGAUUUGGUUUCUGCAUACACAUUAAAUUCAAUGUUUUGGGUUUAUUUGGCAACUCAAGGAGUGAAUCCUAAGGAACAUCCAGUAAAGCAGGAAUUGGAAAGAAUCAGAGUAUAUAUGAACAGAGUCAAGGAAAUGACAGACAAGAAAAAGGCAGGCAAGCUGGACAGAGGUGCAGCUUCAAGAUUUGUAAAAAAUGCCCUCUGGGAACCAAAACGGAAAAAUGCAUCAAAAGUUGCCAAUAAAGAAAAAAGUAAAAGUUAACUUUUUGGUUUUUAUGUACACAUAGUCAGAAAGUAC